AAAGGAAUAGACGGGGGCCCGCACAAGCAGCGGAGCAUGUGGUUUAAUUCGAAGCAACGCGAAGAACCUUACCAGGUCUUGACAUCCAGGUAAAGCUGUAGAGAUACAGUGUGUGCUUGCACAAUCUGAGACAGGUGGUGCAUGGUUGUCGUCAGCUCGUGUCGUGAGAUGUUGGGUUAAGUCCCGCAACGAGCGCAACCCUUGCCGGUAGUUACUAACGGAUGAUGCCGAGGACUUUACUGGGACCGCCGGGGACAACUCGGAGGAAGGUGGGGACGACGUCAAAUCAUCAUGCCCCUUAUGACCUGGGCUACACACGUGCUACAAUGGCCGAGACAGAGAGCUGCGAAGGCGCAAGCCGGAGCGAAUCUCAAAAAAGCGGUCACAGUUCGGAUUGUGGGCUGCAACCCGCCCACAUGAAGCAGGAGUUGCUAGUAAUCGCGAAUCAGCAUGUCGCGGUGAAUACGUUCCCGGGCCUUGUACACACCGCCCGU
rnacentral:rRNA from 1 species